AUCGAACGCUGGCGGCAGGCCUAACACAUGCAAGUCGAGCGGAGCGGCGGACGGGUGAGUAAUGCCUAGGAAUCUGCCUGGUAGUGGGGGAUAACGUCCGGAAACGGGCGCUAAUACCGCAUACUAUCAGAUGAGCCUAGUUCGGAUUAGCUAGUUGGUGGGUUAAAGGCCUACCAGGGCGAUGAUCCGUAACUGGUCUGAGAGGAUGAUCAGGCACACUGUAACUGAGACGCGGUCCAGACUCCUACGUGAGGCAGCAGUGGGGAAUCUUGGGCAAUGGGCGAAUGCCUGAUCCAGCCAUGCCGCGUGUGUUAAGAAGGUCUUCGGAUUGUAAAGCACUUUAAGUUUUGAGGCGUUACCAACAGAAUAAGCACCGGCUAACUUCGUGCCAGCAGCCGCGGUAAUAC
rnacentral:rRNA from 1 species